AUUGAACGCUGGCGGCAGGCCUAACACAUGCAAGUCGAACGAGUGGCGGACGGGUGAGUAAUGUCUGGGAUACUGCCCGAUGGAGGGGGAUAACUACUGGAAAAGGCAGCUAAUACCGCAUACCAUCGGAUGUGCCCAGAUGGGAUUAGCUAGUAGGUGGGGUAAUGGCUCACCUAGGCGACGAUCCCUAGCUGGUCUGAGAGGAUGACCAGCGACACUGGAACUGAGACACGGUCCAGAUUCCUACGGGAGGCAGCAGUGGGGAAUAUUGAACAGUGUGUGAACGGCUGAUUCAGCCAUGUCGCGGGUAUGGAGAAGGCGUUCAGGUUGUAGAGUACUUUCAGCGAGGAGGCGGUACUCGAAGAAGAAGCACCGGCGAACUCCGCGCCAGCAGCCGCGGUAAUAC
rnacentral:rRNA from 1 species